rnacentral:rRNA from 1 species
GUGGAGCUUGCUCCAUGAUUCAGCGGCGGACGGGUGAGUAAUGCCUAGGAAUCUGCCUAUUAGUGGGGGACAACGUUUCGAAAGGAACGCUAAUACCGCAUACGUCCUACGGGAGAAAGCAGGGGACCUUCGGGCCUUGCGCUAAUAGAUGAGCCUAGGUCGGAUUANCUAGUUGGUGAGGUAAUGGCUCACCAAGGCGACGAUCCGUAACUGGUCUGAGAGGAUGAUCAGUCACACUGGAACUGAGACACGGUCCAGACUCCUACGGGAGGCAGCAGUGGGGAAUAUUGGACAAUGGGCGAAAGCCUGAUCCAGCCAUGCCGCGUGUGUGAAGAAGGUCUUCGGAUUGUAAAGCACUUUAAGUUGGGAGGAAGGGCAUUAACCUAAUACGUUAGUGUUUUGACGUUACCGACAGAAUAAGCACCGGCUAACUUCGUGCCAGCAGCCGCGGUAAUACGAAGGGUGCAAGCGUUAAUCGGAAUUACUGGGCGUAAAGCGCGCGUAGGUGGUUUGUUAAGUUGGAUGUGAAAGCCCCGGGC